rnacentral:rRNA from 1 species
GCUCAACCGAAGAAGUGCAUUGGAAACUGGGAGACUUGAGUGCAGAAGAGGACAGUGGAACUCCAUGUGUAGCGGUGAAAUGCGUAGAUAUAUGGAAGAACACCAGUGGCGAAGGCGGCUGUCUGGUCUGCAACUGACGCUGAGGCUCGAAAGCAUGGGUAGCGAACAGGAUUAGAUACCCUGGUAGUCCAUGCCGUAAACGAUGAUUACUAAGUGUUGGAGGGUUUCCGCCCUUCAGUGCUGCAGCUAACGCGUUAAGUAAUCCGCCUGGGGAGUACGGCCGCAAGGUUGAAACUCAAAAGAAUUGACGGGGGCCCGCACAAGCGGUGGAGCAUGUGGUUUAAUUCGAAGCUACGCGAAGAACCUUACCAGGUCUUGACAUCUUCUGACAGUCUAAGAGAUUAGAGGUUCCCUUCGGGGACAGAAUGACAGGUGGUGCAUGGUUGUCGUCAGCUCGUGUCGUGAGAUGUUGGGUUAAGUCCCGCAACGAGCGCAACCCUUAUUACUAGUUGCCAGCAUUAAGUUGGGCACUCUAGUGAGACUGCCGGUGACAAACCGGAGGAAGGUGGGGACGACGUCAAAUCAUCAUGCCCCUUAUGACCUGAGCUACACACGUGCUACAAUGGAUGGUACAACG